CGAAAUGCGAUAAGUAAUGUGAAUUGCAGAAUUCAGUGAAUCAUCGAAUCUUUGAACGCACCUUGCGCUCCUUGGUAUUCCGAGGAGCAUGCCUGUUUGAGUGUCAUUAAAUUCUCAACCCCACUAGCUUUUGUGAGCUAUGCUGGGGCUUGGAUGUUGGGAGUUUGCGGGCCUUUACUAGGUCGGCUCUCCUGAAAUACAUUAGCGGAACCGUUUGCAGUCCCGUCACUAGUGUGAUAAUUAUCUACACUGUGAUGACUGCUCUCUGACUAGUUCAGCUGCUAAUCGUCCACUGUGGACAAUCAUUAAUGAACUUCUUGACCUCAAAUCAGGUAGGACUACCCGCUGAACUUAA
rnacentral:sRNA from 1 species